CAGGAAUUGUCUCUAUUGCUGAGUUGUACUUAUCAAGCGCUUAGAACAGUGCAUCUGAGUGCGAGCACUGUUCCAAGUGCUUGAUAAGUACAGCAGAAGCACAGGAGCUUGCACUCUA
rnacentral:precursor_RNA from 13 species